GAUGAACGCUGGCUACAGGCUUAACACAUGCAAGUCGUGGGGAAACGGCAUUAUGUGCUUGCACAUUCUGGACGUCGACCGGCGCACGGGUGAGUAUCGCGUAUCCAACCUGCCCCUUACUUGGGGAUACCCCGUUGAAAGACGGCCUAAUACCCGAUGUGUUUCAUUGACGGCAUCCGAUAUGAAACAAAGGUUUUCCGGUAAGGGAUGGGGAUGCGUCUGAUUAGCUUGUUGGCGGGGCAACGGCCCACCAAGGCGACGAUCAGUAGGGGUUCUGAGAGGAAGGUCCCCCACAUUGGAACUGAGACACGGUCCAAACUCCUACGGGAGGCAGCAGUGAGGAAUAUUGGUCAAUGGACGCAAGUCUGAACCAGCCAAGUAGCGUGCAGGAUGACGGCCCUAUGGGUUGUAAACUGCUUUUAUGUGGGAAUAAAGUGGCGCACGUGUGCGCCAUUGCAUGUACCUCAUGAAUAAGGACCGGCUAAUUCCGUGCCAGCAGCCGCGGUAAUACGGAAGGUCCGGGCGUUAUCCGGAUUUAUUGGGUUUAAAGGGAGUGUAGGCGGUCUGUUAAGCGUGUUGUGAAAUUUAGGUGCUCAACAUUUAACUUGCAGCGCGAACUGUCAGACUUGAGUACACGCAGCGCAGGCGGAAUUCAUGGUGUAGCGGUGAAAUGCUUAGAUAUCAUGAGGAACUCCCUAUCGCGAAGGCAGCCUGCGUGAGUGUUACUGACGCUUAAGCUCGAAGGUGCGGUGUAUCGAACAGGAUUAUAUACCCUGGUAGUCCAAGGGCGAAUUCCACAGUGGAUAUCAAGCUUAUCGAUACCGUCGACCUCGAGAGGGGGCCCGUGUACCCAGCUGUUGUUCCCUUUAGUGAAUGGUUAAUUAUG
rnacentral:rRNA from 1 species